UACGUAGGGUGCGAGCGUUGUCCGGAAUUAUUGGGCGUAAAGAGCUCGUAGGCGGUGUGUCACGUCGGCCGUGAAAACCUGCAGCUUAACUGUGGGCGUGCGGUCGAUACGGGCAUCACUGGAGUUCGGCAGGGGAGACUGGAAUUCCUGGUGUAGCGGUGAAAUGCGCAGAUAUCAGGAGGAACACCGGUGGCGAAGGCGGGUCUCUGGGCCGAUACUGACGCUGGAGGAAGCGAAAGCGUGGGGAGGCAAACAGG
rnacentral:rRNA from 1 species